AUGGCCUCGAGCUCCCUCCCGCUCCUCGCCCUCCUGACCCUGCUGGCCCUGCCAGGGCUCCGGGCGGCCGUGACCCUGCUGGAGUGCGGGGGGGACCUCCAGCCCCCCGGGGGGUCCCUGACUCUGCUCUGCCGCGCCUCCGCGUUUGAUUUUGGGAGUCAUGCCAUGCACUGGAUCCGUCAGAGCCCUGGUAAGCCACUGGAAUACGUUGGGAGUAUCAACAGCAAUGGUGGCACCACCCAGUACGCACCAUCGGUCAAGGGUCGGGUCACGAUCUCCAGGGACAACGGGCAGAGCUCGGUGACGCUGACCAUGAACAGCCUCAAGGACGAGGAUUCCGCCGUUUAUUUCUGCGGCAAACGUGAUAAUGGUAAUGCUGGUGCUGAUGCCAGUGCUGGUUCCGUCCCACCCCCAGUUUCUCUGACCCCCCCUCACCUUUUCUGCCACUCCCAACCCCUGACCCAACUCUUGGCCGUUCCUCCAAAGCUUUGA